GGCCUUGCCUGCGGGGUCUGAUGGGCGUAAGUCAGCAGGAUAAGCCACGGCGGCGUGCCCGGGUCGUCGCGGUCGAAAACCUCACGGGCUGGCUUCCGGCUACCCAGCCGUUGGGGGUACCGGGAGCGAGAAGUGGCCAGCGGCUAAGCAUGUAGACACGCUUAGGUUCGGAUUCUCGGACGCGGGUUCGAUUCCCGCCGCCUCCAUUC
rnacentral:tmRNA from 1 species